GCAUGGUAAUGGAUUUAUGGUAGGCUCUUCUUUGUGGGCCUCCCAUAGUGUACUCAUGCCAGAGUAAAUUGCUGCCUCGAACCAUUGCUUAGCUCCUUACCUGUGAGCUGUUAGCACUGAAGGGGGUUGUACAGUG